rnacentral:lncRNA from 1 species
ACAUUGAACCAAGAGACUGCUACGUUGUCACCAAGUCCUUUGUUCAAUCUUUUUUGCCCUUUGUUCAAUCUGAAGCCAACAAAUGAUGGAAAAUUAUAUAGAUGGUUCACAUGGUAUCUUGUGUUGCUCUCUACAGUUGGAUUUGUCUGGUUUGGCCAGAGACAAACAAAGUUUUGUCCACCAAGGCCUGCUAAAUUAUACGACAAGGUAGAGCACGAAUUCACCAAGUUUUGUAAAAUAUGUUUAUUAUUUCUGAAUUAUGUUAACUAAUUUUCUGUCUUUUUAAUGUAAUAUAUAGUAAUUUAAGUUCUUGUUUUGUUAUUUUGGAUUAUUUAAUAAUUUACAAAAAUUUGAUAUAAAAAACUAUAUUAAUGAUUAAGUACCUUUGAUAAGGGUUCUCUAGUGGAAAUGUAAUUUUAAGUAUAGUUGCUAAUAGAUUGAUUUGAUUAGUUUAAUAUUAGUUAUAUUAUUAGUUUAAUUUUAAGUACCCUUUAUGUGUUGCUCUAGUAAUGAUGGU